rnacentral:rRNA from 1 species
UCGUUCGUACGUGACCUGCGGAAGGAUCAUUACCUAGAGUUUGUGGGCUUUGCCUGCUAUCUCUUACCCAUGUCUUUUGAGUACUUACGUUUCCUCGGUGGGUUCGCCCGCCGAUUGGACAAUUUAAACCCUUUGCAGUUGCAAUCAGCGUCUGAAAAACAUAAUAGUUACAACUUUCAACAACGGAUCUCUUGGUUCUGGCAUCGAUGAAGAACGCAGCGAAAUGCGAUAAGUAGUGUGAAUUGCAGAAUUCAGUGAAUCAUCGAAUCUUUGAACGCACAUUGCGCCCCUUGGUAUUCCAUGGGGCAUGCCUGUUCGAGCGUCAUUUGUACCUUCAAGCAUUGCUUGGUGUUGGGUGUUUGUCUCGCCUUUGCGUGUAGACUCGCCUUAAAACAAUUGGCAGCCGGCGUAUUGAUUUCGGAGCGCAGUACAUCUCGCGCUUUGCACUCAUAACGACGACGUCCAAAAGUACAUUUUAACACUCUUGACCUCGGAUCAGGUAGGGAUACCCGCUGAACUUAAGCAUAUCAAUAAGCGGAGGAAAAGAAACCAACAGGGAUUGCCCUAGUAACGGCGAGUGAAGCGGCAACAGCUCAAAUUUGAAAUCUGGCGUCUUUGGCGUCCGAGUUGUAAUUUGCAGAGGGCGCUUUGGCAUUGGCAGCGGUCCAAGUUCCUUGGAACAGGACGUCACAGAGGGUGAGAAUCCCGUACGUGGUCGCUAGCCUUUACCGUGUAAAGCCCCUUCGACGAGUCGAGUUGUUUGGGAAUGCAGCUCUAAUGGGAGGUAAAUUUCUCUAAGCUAAAUACUGGCCAGAGACCGAUAGCGCACAAGUAGAGUGAUCGAAAGAUGAAAAGCACUUUGGGA